rnacentral:rRNA from 1 species
GAGUUUGAUCGUGGCUCAGAUUGAACGCUGGCGGCAUGCCUUACACAUGCAAGUCGAACGGCAGCACGGGAGCUUGCUCCUGGUGGCGAGUGGCGAACGGGUGAGUAAUGCAUCGGAACGUAUCCUGGAGUGGGGGAUAACGUAGCGAAAGUUACGCUAAUACCGCAUAUUCUGUGAGCAGGAAAGCGGGGGACCUUCGGGCCUCGCGCUCUUGGAGCGGCCGAUGUCGGAUUAGCUAGUUGGUGAGGUAAAGGCUCACCAAGGCGACGAUCCGUAGCAGGUCUGAGAGGAUGAUCUGCCACACUGGAACUGAGACACGGUCCAGACUCCUACGGGAGGCAGGCAGUGGGGAAUUUUGGACAAUGGGGGCAACCCUGAUCCAGCCAUGCCGCGUGAGUGAAGAAGGCCUUCGG